GAAUAGUUGACUGAGCAUUUGAUUAAUGUACUCCUCAUAUUAUUGUAUGCUACAACUUGAUUGACCAAAUAAAACUUCUCUAUGAUGUCUCCGUAUAAAAAGGUUCCACAAUGGUAAUUCAGUUCUGUUUUAAUUCUUUUUUUUUUUUUAAUUUGGGGUUGAUAUUCAUAUUAGAGUCUGAUUAAAUCAGAUUCAAGCUGUGUAGGUCCCCAUUCGGAAGGAAGCACUCCCUACCAAGAAUGUUUUCAUAUCCAGGAUUCGAACGCGAGAUCUCUGAUUUAAAGAGAAGAAGUCUCAUCCACUGCACCACAUUCUUUGGAUAUAGUUCUGUUUAAAUUCUUCCUGGCCACAAAUCAUUUUUUUACCUCCCUUUUUAAGUUGACUCUUUCAAAUAUGCCAUUUUAGAAAGAUGCAUAUUCUGUGGCAACUGUAUAAUAGCCCAUUAAUUAUGAACCAUAAAAGAGAAAGCAAUGUAAAUAACAGAAGCAGAGCCAAAAAAAUUAGUUUAUGAGUUUUGCUUUACAAAUAAUUUUUACUUAUUGAAUUCUCGAUAGAUUAUUUA
rnacentral:lncRNA from 1 species